rnacentral:rRNA from 1 species
AUGGAGGAGGUCGUAGUUUUGAUUGUUGGUGCAGGGCCUGCAGGCCUCGCAACUGCAGCAUGCGUUAGCCAACUCCAUCCCUAUGUCAUCGUUGAGCGUGAGAAUUGCAGCCCAUCACUAUGGCGCAACCACACAUAUGACCGUCUGAAGCUACAUCUAGCGAGGGAAUUUUGUGAGUUGCCACACAUGCCGUACCCAGCAGAUACCCCUUCCUACAUACCAAAGAACACUUUCAUCAAGUACGUGGAUGACUACAUUGAGUGUUUCACUAUCCAUCCGAGGUAUCUUACUGUUGUUGAGUCAUCCACAUAUGACUUCAAUGGAAAAUAUUGGUCCAUCAUGGCGCGCGACAUGGCAAAGUGCAAAAUAGUUAAUUACAGGGCGAAGUUUCUUGUUGUGGCAAAUGGUGAGAAUAGUGUUGAGAAUAUUCCAGUGGUCCCUGGCCUGAAAAACUUUCCGGGUGUGGCCAUCCACUCAUCAUGUUACAAGUCAGGCAUUGACUACUCCGGGAAGAACGUGUUGGUCAUCGGAUCUGGUAACUCUGGGAUGGAGAUCGCCUACGACCUUGCUUCUCAUGGUGCCAAUACUUCUAUAGUUAUACGAAGUCCGAUUCAUGUAAUGACAAAGGAAUUAAUCCGACUAGGGAUGACACUAGUCCAUUAUCUUUCACUAAAGAUGAUAGAUGGUUUCCUUUUGAUGAUGGCAAAUGCCGUAUUCGGGGACCUCUCUAGGCAUGGCAUCACAAGACCAGAAAAGGGUCCAUUUGUGCUGAAGUCGGAAACGCGAUCCGCAGUGAUUGAUGUUGGCACCAUAGGGUUAACCAAGAAAGACAAAAUUAAAGUUCAUGGAAGGAUUACUAAGAUCAAAGGAAAAACAAUUGAAUUUGAAGGUGGGAAGGAAGCCUCCUUUGAUGCCAUUGUGUUUGCAACCGGAUACAAAAGCACAACAAAUUCGUGGCUCAAGGUAGUAAGAUAA